AAUGCACAUUGUCCAAUUUUAAAAAAGGAAAAUUGAACUUCGACACUUGGUAUAUAACAAUAGAAUAUACUGUACAAUUUGGCCUAAUUAAAAUUUUAAAUAUCAUAUGUACAAUUUAAACAGCAAUAUUGACGUCUUCUUAAGGUGGUGGUGGUAGAUAGUUUUCCGGCUUGUGGAAACUCUGGCGUAUUGUUUUUCCAUGUCUGUCAGGAAGGACAGAUCGAGCACAAACAAAAAUAGAGCUGUCUUCCUUUUUCAAUACAAAAAAUGUUUCCAAAUCAUCAGUACCACCAGCCUGUGGAUGCUGUGGAUAGCCAAUAUCGAUGAUCUCUUGGCGUCUGUAUUCC